UACGUAGGUCCCGAGCGUUGUCCGGAAUUACUGGGUGUAAAGGGUGCGCAGGCGGUCUUGUGCGUCAGAAGUGAAAUAUCACGGCUUAACCGUGAGGGUGCUUUUGAUACGGCAAGACUUGAGUACGGGAGAGGAUGAUGGAAUUCCUGGUGUAGCAGUGAAAUGCGUAGAUAUCAGGAGGAGCACCGGUGGCGAAGGCGGUCAUCUGGCCCGGUACUGACGCUCAGGCACGAAAGUGUGGGUAGCAAACAGG
rnacentral:rRNA from 1 species